AUUUUAUGGAUGAAGAAAUUGAGGAUUAGAGGUUAAAUGCUUCAUGCAUGUUUCACCUAGCCAGUAUGUGUCAGAGGUGGUCCUUGAAUGCAGAUAUCCCUGACUUUGAGAUCAACUUACUAUCCACUAUGCCAUGUUGACUCUCUUGCCUUGGACAAAAAAAUAAAUUCCUGAAUCAUGGCUGCAAUCUAGACGCCACACGCUUCCUCUCCCCAGCACUGAAAGAAAUAGAC
rnacentral:lncRNA from 1 species